rnacentral:rRNA from 1 species
UCAGAGCGAACGCUGGCGGCAGGCUUAACACAUGCAAGUCGAGCGGGCGUAGCAAUACGUCAGCGGCAGACGGGUGAGUAACGCGUGGGAACAUACCUUUUGGUUCGGAACAACACAGGGAAACUUGUGCUAAUACCGGAUAAGCCCUUACGGGGAAAGAUUUAUCGCCGAAAGAUUGGCCCGCGUCUGAUUAGCUAGUUGGUGAGGUAACGGCUCACCAAGGCGACGAUCAGUAGCUGGUCUGAGAGGAUGAUCAGCCACAUUGGGACUGAGACACGGCCCAAACUCCUACGGGAGGCAGCAGUGGGGAAUAUUGGACAAUGGGCGCAAGCCUGAUCCAGCCAUGCCGCGUGAGUGAUGAAGGCCCUAGGGUUGUAAAGCUCUUUUGUGCGGGAAGAUAAUGACGGUACCGCAAGAAUAAGCCCCGGCUAACUUCGUGCCAGCAGCCGCGGUAAUACGAAGGGGGCUAGCGUUGCUCGGAAUCACUGGGCGUAAAGGGUGCGUAGGCGGGUCUUUAAGUCAGGGGUGAAAUCCUGGAGCUCAACUCCAGAACUGCCUUUGAUACUGAAGAUCUUGAGUUCGGGAGAGGUGAGUGGAACUGCGAGUGUAGAGGUGAAAUUCGUAGAUAUUCGCAAGAACACCAGUGGCGAAGGCGGCUCACUGGCCCGAUACUGAC